rnacentral:rRNA from 1 species
GAUGAAUGCUAGCUACAGGCUUAACACAUGCAAGUCGAGGGGAAACGAUAUUGGAAGCUUGCUUCCGAUAGGCGUCGACCGGCGCACGGGUGAGUAACGCGUAUCCAACCUGCCCAUCACUUGGGGAUAACCUUGCGAAAGUAAGACUAAUACCCAAUGACGUCUCUAGAAGACAUCUGAAAGAGAUUAAAGAUUUAUCGGUGAUGGAUGGGGAUGCGUCUGAUUAGCUUGUUGGCGGGGUAACGGCCCACCAAGGCGACGAUCAGUAGGGGUUCUGAGGGGAAGGUCCCACAGAGUGGAACCGAGACGCGGGCCAAACUCCUACGGGACGCAGCAGUGAGGAGGAUUGGUCAAUGGGCGAGAGCCUGAACCAGCCAAGUAGCGUGCAGGAUGACGGCCCUAUGGGUUGUAAACUGCUUUUAUAAGGGAAUAAAGUGGGAGUCAUGACUCCUUUUGCAUGUACCUUAUGAAUAAGGACCGGCUAAUUCCGUGCCAGCAGCCGCCGUAA